rnacentral:rRNA from 1 species
AUUGAACGCUGGCGGCAGGCCUAACACAUGCAAGUCGAACGAGUGGCGGACGGGUGAGUAAUGUCUGGGAAACUGCCUGAUGGAGGGGGAUAACUACUGGAAACGGUAGCUAAUCCCGCAUACCAUCAGAUGUGCCCAGAUGGGAUUAGCUUGUCGGUGGGGUAACGGCUCACCAAGGCGACGAUCCCUAGCUGGUCUGAGAGGAUGACCAGCCACUCGGGAACUGAGACACGGUCCAGACUCCUACGGUAGGCAGAAGUGGGGAAUAUUGCACAAUGGGCGCAAGCCUGAUGCAGCCAUGCCGCGUGUAUGAAGAAGGCCUUCGGGUUGUAAAGUACGUUCAGCGGGGAGGCGUUACCCGCAGAAGAAGCACCGGCUAAAUCCGUGCCAGCCGACGAGGUAAUUC